rnacentral:rRNA from 1 species
UACGGAGGGGGUUAGCGUUGUUCGGAAUGACUGGGCGUAAAGCGCGCGUAGGCGGACCUGCAAGUCGGGGGUGAAAUCCCGGGGCUCAACCCUGGAAUGGCCUUCGAGACUGCCGGUCUUGAGUUCGAGAGAGGUGGGUGGAAUUCCGAGUGUAGAGGUGAAAUUCGUAGAGAUCAGGUGGAACACCGGAGGCGAAGGCGCCUGCCUGGCAGUGUAUUGACGCUGAGGUGCGAAAGUGCGGGGAGCAAACAGG